rnacentral:rRNA from 1 species
GAUGAAUGCUGGCGGCGUGCCUAACACAUGCAAGUCGAGCGGCAGCGAGGGGUGCUUGCACCCUGUCGGCGAGCGGCGAACGGCUGAGUAACGCGUAGGAAUUUGCCCCAAAGUGAGGAAUAACUGCCCGAAAGGGUAGCUAAUGCCGCAUAUGGUCCUCGGAUUAAAGGAUUUAUCCGCUUUGGGAGAAGCCUGCGUUGGAUUAGGUUGUUGGUAGGGUAAUGGCCUACCAAGCCGACGAUCCAUAGCUGGUCUGAGAGGAUGAUCAGCCAGACUGGAACUGUGACACGGUCCCGACUCCUACGGGAGGCAGCAGUGAGGAAUCUUCCACAAUGGGCGAAAGCCUGAUGGAGCAACGCCGCGUGAAGGAUGAAGGCCUUCGGGUUGUAAACUUCUUUUAUGAGUGAAGAAUAUGACGGUAACUCAUGAAUAAGCACCGGCUAACUACGUG